GAUGAACGCUAGCGGCAGGCUUAAUACAUGCAAGUCGAGGGGCAGCAUGACUGUAGCAAUACAGUUGAUGGCGACCGGCAAACGGGUGCGGAACACGUACGCAACCUACCCAAAACUGAGGAAUAGCCCGGGGAAACCCGGAUUAAUACCUCGUAACAUAAUUGAGUGGCAUCAUUUAAUUAUUAUAGCUCCGGCGGUUUUGGAUGGGCGUGCGCCUGAUUAGAUAGUUGGCGGGGUAACGGCCCACCAAGUCUGCGAUCAGUAACUGGUGUGAGAGCACGACCAGUCACACGGGCACUGAGACACGGGCCCGACUCCUACGGGAGCAGCAGUAAGGAAUAUUGGUCAAUGGACGCAAGUCUGAACCAGCCAUGCCGCGUGAAGGAUGAAGGUCCUCUGGAUUGUAAACUUCUUUAUAUGGGACGAACCUCUUUUCUAAAGAGACUGACGGUACCAUAAGAAUAAGCACCGGCUAACUCCGUGCC
rnacentral:rRNA from 1 species